UUCUACGGACUGAGCGUGCCCUGAAUGUGCCCAAUCUCAUCUGAUCUCGAAAGCUAAGCAGGGUCAGGCCUAGUUAAUACUUGGAUGGGAGACUGCCUGGGAAUACUGGGUGCUAUAGGCU
rfam:Mustela putorius furo unplaced genomic scaffold scaffold00032, whole genome shotgun sequence.